UACGUAGGGUGCGAGCGUUGUCCGGAAUUAUUGGGCGUAAAGGGCUCGUAGGCGGUUUGUCGCGUCGGGAGUGAAAACACUGGGCUUAACUCAGUGCUUGCUUCCGAUACGGGCAGACUAGAGGUAUGCAGGGGAGAACGGAAUUCCUGGUGUAGCGGUGAAAUGCGCAGAUAUCAGGAGGAACACCGGUGGCGAAAGCGGCGCGCUGGACCUCUUCUGACGCUGAGGCGCGAAAGCCAGGGGAGCGAACGGG
rnacentral:rRNA from 1 species